rnacentral:rRNA from 1 species
AAAAAAGCCGCUAUUGUUCUUAUUGUACCCGUACCGUAAACCGACACAGGUGGAUGAGGAGAGAAUCCUAAGGCCGACGGAAGAAGCAUUGUUAAGGAACUCGGCAAAAUGACCCCGUAACUUCGGGAGAAGGGGUGCCACAGAAAUGUGGCCGCAGAGAAUAGGCUCAAGCAACUGUUUAGCAAAAACACAGGUCUAUGCAAAACCGAAAGGUGAGGUAUAUGGGCUGACGCCUGCCCGGUGCUGGAAGGUUAAGAGGAGAGGUUAGCGCAAGCGAAGCUUUGAAUUGAAGCCCCAGUAAACGGCGGCCGUAACAAUAACGGUCCUAAGGUAGCGAAAUUCCUUGUCGGGUAAGUUCCGACCCGCACGAAAGGCGUAAUGAUUUGAGCGCUGUCUCGACAAUGCAUCCGGUGAAAUUGAAGUACCAGUGAAGAUGCUGGUUACCUGCGCCAGGACGGAAAGACCCCAUGGAGCUUUACUCCAGCUUGAUACUGGGAUUCGGUAUUGCAUGUACAGGAUAGGUGGGAGGCUGAGAAUCGGUAACGCCAGUUGCCGAGGAGCCAUUGUUGGGAUACCACCCUUGCAGUACUGGGUUUCUAACCAGCAGCCGUGACCCGGCUGGGGGACAAUGUCAGGUGGGGAGUUUGACUGGGGCGGUCGCCUCCGAAAGGGUAUCGGAGGCGCUCAAAGGUUCCCUCAGAAUGGUUGGAAACCAUUCGAAGAGUGCAAAGGCAGAAGGGAGCUUGACUGCGACACCGACGGGUGGAGCAGGUACGAAAGUAGGACUUAGUGAUCCGGUGGUAUUAAGUGGGAAUGCCAUCGCUCAACGGAUAAAAGCUACCCUGGGAUAACAGGCUUAUCACUCCCAAGAGUUCACAUCGACGGAGUGGUUUGGCACCUCGAUGUCGGCUCAUCGCAUCCUGGGGCUGUAGUAGGUCCCAAGGGUUGGGCUGUUCGCCCAUUAAAGCGGUACGCGAGCUGGGUUCAGAACGUCGUGAGACAGUUCGGUCCCUAUCCGGCGUGGGCGUAGGAUAUCUGAGAGGAGCUGUCCUUAGUACGAGAGGACCGGGAUGGACGGACCGCUGGUGUACCUGUUGCAGUGCCAGCUGCAUGGCAGGGUAGCCAAGUCCGGAAGGGAUAAACGCUGAAGGCAUCUAAGCGUGAAGCCCCCCUCAAGAUGAGAUAUCCCAUUCGAAAGAAGUAAGACCCCUUGAAGACGACGAGGUAGAUAGGGCAGAGGUGGAAGUGCAGUAAUGUAUGGAGCUGACUGUUACUAAUCGGUCGAGGGUUUGAUC